rnacentral:lncRNA from 1 species
CCAGGCUCCAAGCAGCGGCAGAGGAGGAGGCCGUUGCAGGAAUCCAAGGGUCUUACAUGGUCACUGGGGACGGGAAAGAAGGAGAAGUCGGGGAAGAUGAACGGCGCGCCUUUUCCGGUGAUGUUGGUGAAGUGAUGCGCGCGGGCGGGGCAGCGCUCUAAGUUCCAGCUGUGGUAGAAGAAGCCGACGAGGGUCUGGGGUAGCUUCUUGCGGUGGACGGGGUCGGAGAUGAGGUAGCGCCAGGACCGAGAGACGCAUUUGAAGCGGCACAGUGAGCGGACGGGGACGCGGCGGAGGAUCUCCACGAGGAGCUCGUCCGUGAGGCUGGCCGGCGGGUUCCUCUUCCCGGGGGGCUCCUCCAUCUCGUGGAGUCCGGAUCCCCCGCUGUGAGGAUGAGGUAGCGCCAGGACCGAGAGACGCAUUUGAAGCGGCACAGUGAGCGGACGGGGACGCGGCGGAGGAUCUCCACGAGGAGCUCGUCCGUGAGGCUGGCCGGCGGGUUCCUCUUCCCGGGGGGCUCCUCCAUCUCGUGGAGUCCGGAUCCCCCGCUGUGAGGAUGAGGUCGCCCUGCUCUGCAGUUGGAUCACGGCCUAGAUUAUGGUAAUCUGAUGAGUUGUGAGGAGAAUAAAAGAGUUUUUUUUGUUUUAAAACUGGUGAAGCUGGGAGCGAUUAGCUUGCCUUUGGAUCAGGCGGAGCGCGGCCGGAGACGGAAGCGGAGGCCGACGCG